AGGCUGCAGGGCUGGGACGUUGUCAGAGACCCCCGUGGCUUUGCUGCAGAGAGUCUCCUUCUUUAGGUCUCUCCCUGAGGACUGAGAGAGAAUUCUGGGUCAUGUCUGUGAGCACGAGGAGGAGACUCGUUGGAGUUUUCCCCGUUCCCACUGCUAACUGAGCGAGAAGACAGACAUCCCUGUGGAGAAGGAAUUUCUCUCUAACCACACAAGAGCUGGUUAUUAUUUCCUUGGACUGACAUACUCAAAGCCUGAGGGCAGAUGAAAGUGGAUCAGCAAUGAAGAACUGAACAGUGAUGUGUAGCUUCAUUCUUUUCUAACUCUGAAUUUCUCUCUAACCACACAAGAGCUGGUUAUUAUUUCCUUGGACUGACAUACUCAAAGCCUGAGGGCAGAUGAAAGUGGAUCAGCAAUGAAGAACUGAACAGUGAUGUGUAGCUUCAUUCUUUUCUAACUCUGUUUGAUAUACAAAAGAAUCUCCAUGACUAUGCCUGCGCUGUUAUUGGCUUUAAUAAGGUGGUGACUGCAGUUUGUUCUGAAUCCUCACACAUCCACUAUAUCUGUAAGAAGACCAUGGGAUAACUAUAGAUCCUCAAGAUGAGAAAAUUGCAGGCACAAGAACAUGCCUGGGUUAUCCAGAUGCCAACAAGGAUAUUUCUCUCUAUAAACAUCCUCAGCACAUGUACCCUCAUAUGCAUACAAACACAUACUCUUACGCAGGCACUCACAAACCUGUUUUCAUCUGAUCAUAAACAGCAAUGGCAUGAUCAUCAUGUCUGGUUGGACUACACACAGGACAAAUUCCAGACCUCUUUUCAUGUCACCACAGAGACCAACAGACAAACUUUCAGUGGGCAAGUGGUCUCUGAACAGAUGUUGAAAAAAAUGCAAAAAAUUAGUAAAA